rnacentral:rRNA from 1 species
GAUGAACGCUGGCGGCGUGCCUAAUACAUGCAAGUCGAGCGAACGGACGAGAAGCUUGCUUCUCUGAUGUUAGCGGCGGACGGGUGAGUAACACGUGGAUAACCUACCUAUAAGACUGGGAUAACUUCGGGAAACCGGAGCUAAUACCGGAUGAUAUUUUGAACCGCAUGGUUCAAAAGUGAACGACGGUCUUGCUGUCACUUAUAGAUGGAUCCGCGCUGCAUUAGCUAGUUGGUAAGGUAACGGCUUACCAAGGCAACGAUGCAUAGCCGACCUGAGAGGGUGAUCGGCCACACUGGAACUGAGACACGGUCCAGACUCCUACGGGAGGCAGCAGUAGGGAAUCUUCCGCAAUGGGCGAAAGCCUGACGGAGCAACGCCGCGUGAGUGAUGAAGGUCUUCGGAUCGUAAAACUCUGUUAUUAGGGAAGAACAUAUGUGUAAGUAACUGUGCACAUCUUGACGGUACCUAAUCAGAAAGCCACGGCUAACUACGUG